rnacentral:rRNA from 1 species
UUCGUAGGCGGUGCGGCAAGUUGGGAGUGAAAUCUCUGGGCUUAACCCAGAGGCUGCUUCCAAAACUGCUGUGCUUGAGUGUGAGAGAGGCUCGUGGAAUUGCAGGUGUAGCGGUGAAAUGCGUAGAUAUCUGCAGGAACACCCGUGGCGAAAGCGGCGAGCUGGAUCACUACUGACGCUGAGGAACGAAAGCUAGGGGAGCAAACAGGAUUAGAUACCCUGGUAGUCCUAGCCCUAAACGAUCAGGACUUGGGGUGCCGCCCGUUCGGGCGUCGUCCCGGAGCUAACGCGUUAAGUCCUGCACCUGGGGAGUACGGUCGCAAGACUGAA